rnacentral:lncRNA from 1 species
AUGGAGGUCUUAGGGUUCUCGAACAGUAAGAUGGAUGUCAGAGCCAAACGUCAACUUGAAAUCUGGAUGGAAAUGGCUCCCUCCAAGCCUGAACCUCAGGGGAAGGCUCAGCAGUCACAGCCCACCAGUGUUUCCUUUCAGCUGCCAAUGCUGCUCAGAGAGGGAGGUGCUGCUGCUGCCUGGAGGGGGCAGCCCUGAAGGUUACGGAAGACAGUGGGCAGAGAAUGUGGAAAAUCACCCAGAGGUUGCUGCUCACACUUCAUGUCUUCAGAGCAUCACCCCUCAUUUUAUAGCUGGAGAGGUUGGUGCACAGCCAGGGAAAGCCAGGAACAGGUUCCGGCUUCCAUCACUCAGAUACUCAGGAAUCCCUGGUUCUAGAGGCUGGACAGUCCAAGAUCAAGGUGCCUGCAUCUGGCAUCUAGUGUGGGCCCUAUUCCUGGUUUGCAGUUUUUCAUUGUUAUUGUCUCAGAUCACCAAAAAGUGGACAGGGAGGAGGAGUGGAAGCAAGGAAAAAUAAGGAAAGAAAUACACUGGAUCCCAUUGUUUACAAUGUGGUCUUGGCUGCAGUGUGUUGAGGACCAGUCUAUAGCAGGAAUUCCCAAACUUGAACAUGGUGACUCGCACCAGACUGAGUCACUCCUGGAUGUUCUGGUGGGAGGGUUUUGGGGAGUCCCCCACACAGCCCCACCUCACCUCCAAGAGGCUGGAGGCCCCACAGGUGGGUACAGUGUUGGUGGCCAGCCCCUUGGUGGCCAUGGCUGGUGGGUGGGCGAGGAAACUGGUCCCGUUGGUGGACCUCAUGCCUGGUGGGCGCCGCCCACGGCACUGGGAACUUCCUUGCUCCUUUUGGUGCUGUUGGCACAGCCUUUCCAGAGCAGCAAAUGAAUGCCAGUCUCCUCCCACACCCCUCCAGGAACGCAGACCAACACAGCUGCUCUAUUAAAUGUGUGCACUUCUUAUUCUGAGUAUGUCUGA